UUUAACUGAAGAGUUUGAUCAUGGCUCAGAUUGAACGCUGGCGGCAGGCUUAACACAUGCAAGUCGAGCGGGGGAAGGUAGCUUGCUACUGGACCUAGCGGC
rnacentral:rRNA from 1 species